AUUUGUGAUGAUAGUAAUGUCGCCCCAGUCUGAUGUAUAUAUACUCUGACUGACUGACUUAAUAUACCUGAGAU